CAGAUUAUGCUUAGUGAAGCUAGCCAAUCCUUAAUAUAGAUAUUUUAUUCUUUAAUGUAUAUUAUUUUGCUCUUUAAUCUCUCUCUUCCUUGGUGUGUUAUACAUCUUUCACUUUAGAUAAGUUUUACCUAGCAUAAUUUAAUGAUGUAAACUAUUGUAGCCUAACAUAGCAGGGGACACAGUUGAGACGUUCAAAUGGAGAAAACAAAACUAAAAAAUGUUGACAGAGUAGUUAUUCAGCAGAAAAAAAAAUUUCAGAAGCUUAGCUUUAUUUCUUUUUAUUGUAAUCUUUGAACACAUACUACCCUACAUUUAUUACAUUUUCAAAUCCUUUGUAGUCCUCUGUUUUCUUCUUUAGUGAUGUCCCAGUUUAUUCAGACUAAUGACCAAAACUUACCUUUUGUUCUUAGGGCCAGCAUGAUCUGUUACAAAUCUUGUGAGGAAACCUGUAAAGAAGCAAACAGAAGAGAGAGACAUACAGUGAAAAGGAAAAAAGAAAAAAAAAAAAAAACUGGCCACUCCUCAUCCCGGCUGUACAUUGUAUACCCCAAAAUAUCAUAGCUUCUGUUACCAUGACUACAUUCUAACCUAGUGUUAUUUUAACCCCAAGUGAUAGCUAACCAAGAUAAGGUACAGUUACUACAAACAUAGAUCCCUUUCUCCCUAAGGACAUUACCACAGAAACUAGAUAGUGCACCUGUAGAGUUGUCUUAAUAGCUUCAGGGAGAAACUGCUAGGCAUUACUAUUGUGGAACUCAGGGUGCCAGUUAUCAUCACCCCCACACUUUCCUGUCUAUUUCCAUGGUCAGAAUACCUACAGCCUCCCCUCCUUUUUAAAUACCUUUUGAAAAAGUAAUAUUACUUAUCUUGUUAAUGCUGGUGGGGGCAAAAAAUAAGGCAGCCAUACACAACAGCAAGUGCCAACAUCAGUAAAUAUCCACCUAUAAAUAUUUUUUGACCCAGAUCAAAUUGAGUAAACAUGAAAUUAUCCAAUCCAACAAGUCUAAACAUCAAUCAUCUUGUUGGACCUUAUUAAUGAUAUUUUUAAGGUAAUCUAACUCUUUAGAAAUAAAAUUACUAUUAUCACUUACAUUGAAGGAACACAUGUUAUUAAACUUAUGAUAUCCAUUAUGAUGUAACAAUACCAGACACUCAAGUGCAGCAUGAAUGUCAAGUAUGGCUUGACAAUGUUGUUUUUGUUCUUCAUUAAGCAUAUUAACAGCCAUGGAGGCAUGGCUAAUACUUUUUAUGAUAGGAUAGGUGAAUUUCAUAGUAGUUUCAUAAGGCCAUAGAGCUAGUCCAAGGAAACCCGCUAAGGAGAAUGUCAAAGUAUCACAUUCUGCCUUAGAGAGAAGGUUCACUCAAUUAUCACAGUUUUUAUCAAGAAGAAUAGAUCUUUUUUAAAUAAAUUGCACAGGAUGGUGACCUAUUAAAUACUAUGUGGAUGAUAAGGACACAGUUAUUCUGCUAAGACAACAAUGAGUACCAUUAGAAAUUUUUGCAGGUAUACAACAAUUUCAUUCAAGUGAGUCAAGCUAUUGUAAUGGGUUGUAGAAGUCCAGGAUCUGACAGUACUGAAUUACCCACAGCGGGUGUACAAAAGCAGGGUAACGUUAUUAUUAAGACCAAAACAUUUACAGAGUUUUGAGUGAGUGUAGCAAUCAAAGCAGUAACUAAGUUAUCCAGAGUACAUUCUAACCUAUUUGAGCCAACACCUUUUGAGCUGAGGCUAUUAACGGUUUUAUUUCCCCCAUGUAACUGGAAUUAUAGUAUCUUGUGUUCCUCUUUUAAUGUUUCUCCUCUUUUGAGGAGAAUGAUUAUUCUCUUGUUUGGAGGGACUCUUCUCUUCCAGGGUUAAAUGAAUUUUAUGAAUAAGCUUGUCAAGUCCCUGAUAUACAUUUAUAAUUGCUAUAUUUCAUGAAUCAAGCUAGAGUCAAAAAGAACAUGUUGGCAUAAGUUUAACAGUCUAUGCUUUUCCCCAUGUGAUCAAAAGCAUAGUAUCUUGCGAUGCUGAUAAGGUGGAAUCUUUUAUAUAUAUAUUUUUUUUUAAAGAUUCAAUUCUUUUGUUACUUGCAAUAAUGCAUUGAUGAUCAUAAAUAUUUUG
rnacentral:lncRNA from 1 species